rnacentral:rRNA from 1 species
CGUGUAGGCGGCCCUGUAAGUCAGAUGUGGAAGCCCUCGGCUUAACCGGGGAAGUGCAUCUGAAACUGCUUGGCUUGAGUACGGGAGAGGGAGGCGGAAUUCCCAGUGUAGAGGUGAAAUUCGUAGAUAUUGGGAGGAACACCGGUGGCGAAAGCGGCCUCCUGGACCGAUACUGACGCUGAGACGCGAAAGCGUGGGGAGCAAACAGGAUUAGAUACCCUGGUAGUCCACGCGGUAAACGAUGGGCACUAGGUGUGGGGGGUAUCCACUCCUCCUGUGCCGAAGCUAACGCAUUAAGUGCCCCGCCUGGGGAGUACGGCCGCAAGGUUAAA